AGGAUCAUUGCCCAUGCGCAACUUGCAACGAUUUUCUCUAAUCCUUACGAAAUGAAACAUUGAAUUGCCAAAUUGUGUUAAUUUAGUUUUUGUUGUAUGCCGCCUUCUAUAGGCAAUGUAUUGUAACAUUUAAUUUCGAAAGAAGGAAACUUCGCGGUACUAGCGACAUCUGAUGUCCAAAACGUAAACGUUAAAUGUAACAACAACAGCGUGCACGUUUUAAAACUAGUUUGGUUCUGACCGCCGACAGGUAUACGAGAAUUGCACCGCACAUAACACGUUACAACAACAAUUUUGUUCUCAGUUUAUAAAAGGUCUGGAAGCUGAACAAAAAAUGAAGAAAUUUGACUAAACUUUGUCGGAGAGUCAUUCUUGCAUCAAAAUGGCUCUAGAAAAUGAACGAAAACUUGGAGGAGCGUCAUUCUUGCAUCAAAAUGGCUCUAGAAAAUGAACGAAAACUUGGAGGAGAUUCAUUCUUGCAUCAAAAUGGCUCUAGAAAAUGAACGAAAACUUGGAGGAGAGUCAUUCUUGCAUCAAAAUAAAUUGAAGAAUACCUUGCAGGAUAGUCAUUCUUAAAUCAAAAUGCACUAGAAAAUGAACGAAAACUUGGAGGAGCGUCAUUCUUGCAUCAAAAUGGCUCUAGAAAAUGAACGAAAACUUGGAGGAGAGUCAUUCUUGCAUCAAAAUGGCUCUAGAAAAUGAACGAAAACUUGGAGGAGAGUCAUUCUUGCAUCAAAAUGGCUCUAGAAAAUGAACGAAAACUUGGAGGAGAGUCAUUCUUGCAUCAAAAUGGCUCUAGAAAAUGAACGAAAACUUGGAGGAGAGUCAUUCUUGCAUCAAAAUGGCUCUAGAAAAUGAACGAAAACUUGGAGGAGAGUCAUUCUUGCAUCAAAAUGGCUCUAGAAAAUGAACGAAAUCUUGGAGGAAAGUCAUUCUUGCAUCAAAAUAAAUUGCAGGAUAGUCAAUCUUGCAUCAGAUUGUAAGUAUUUAAUUUCUUUGUCAUUUUCAUGAACAACUUCAAUAUUUAGUUCACAAAAGAGCGAAAACAAUUACAUUUUCUGUGUUUUGAAACGCUGAUUUUUGCUUAUUUUAUAAUACCAAUCAUUUUGGCUUGUUUCACUGUUAUAUAUAAUAUGGAUCGUUAUUUAGGUAUUUUUGAGCUAAUAAAACUGAGAGAGAAAAUAUUAAGACCUGAUCCUGCUAAAGGUAGAGCGAGACAGAUACACUCUAAAAUGUAUUGUGUAAUCAAUGUGAUCUAUAUGAUCCGGGGAAAUUUCAACACUUUCUUUAUGUUUUCAUUUCGUAGUGGCUUGCGCAGCACGUUGAAAUUGGAUAUAAUUUGCGCACCUACUGUUAUUACUGUUGAAUUACAGGUUUCUGUUUACUUCUAGUCAACUUGACAAUGAGCAUUUGUGUUGGAUAUUGUUUCUUUCCGUUUAGUCGGUGGUGCGAAGUGGUGAGGUGAGCACGUGUCCUCAUUUUUCGUCGGUCUUCAUCGCAACUGUUAGCGUUUCUCGAGAUUUUAUUACGGUAGAAGCAUUAGAAUCGUUUGGUCAUCGACUACUGGCUAAGUAAUUUAUGGCGAAUCGACUCUAGAUUUAAGAGACUUUACCUCGUGCGUGUGUGAAUGCCACCGGCCGUUGGAUCUCAUUCAAUUCCAAUUGGAAUUAUUGGUGAAAAUGGAUCAAUUAUUAAAUCGCGGGAAUAAAUCACAUGUUUUCCCCCCUGGUUGCCAGUGCAAAAUUAAUACAUCAAUUCUACUAGCAAUUCUAUUUCGUGCGAUUUAAAACUUGAUUGAACAUCAAAGGAGUAUGUAAGGUCUAAUAAAAAAUUACCUCUGUUCAACUGUUUUUAAAUUACAAGUAAUUAUUUCUACGGGAUUUGAAAACCGGCAAUGAUUUUUUGUUUAUAAAAUUGUAUAUAUUUUUAAAUGUUGUCAAUAAAAU